GUUUGAUCCUGGCUCAGAGCGAACGCUGNCGGCAGGCCUAACACAUGCAAGUCGAGCGCCCAGCAAUGGGAGCGGCAGNCGGGUGAGUAACGCGUGGGGAUCUCCCCGGUGGUACGGAAUAACCCAGGGAAACUUGGAUUAAUNCCGUAUGUGCCCUUCGGGGAAAGAUUUAUCGCCAUUGGAUGNACCCGCGUCGGNUUAGCUAGUUGCNGAGGNAAAGGCUCACCAAGGCGACGAUCCGUNGCUGGUCUGAGAGGAUGAUCANCCACACUGGGACUGAGACNCGGCCCAGACUCCUACGGGNGGCNGC
rnacentral:rRNA from 1 species